AUGGCUGGAAUAAUGGUGAGCGCUUCUACCGGGGUGAUGAACUCUCUCCUGGGUAAGCUGGCCACCCUGAUGGGAGAGGAGUUUGCCAAGCUAAAGAACCUGAGGAAGGAGGUGAAGCACAUCAGCGAUGAGCUGAGCAGCAUGAAGGAUGCUCUAGAGCGCCUUGCAGAUGUGGACGAGCUUGAUAUACAGACUGCAAGGUGGAGGGACGCGGUCAGGGAGAUGUCUUAUGACAUUGAGGAUAUUAUCGAUGACUUCAUGUGCAAAAUUGGGGAGAAGAAGAAAAAAUCUGGGUUUGUCCACGACACUAUUCAACGUCUGAGAACUUCAAGGGCCCGUCAUCAGAUUGCUGGCCAGAUCGAGGACAUCAAGAAAAUCGUGCGUGAAACAAGUGAACGUCGUGAGAGGUAUAAGGUCGAUGUCCCCACAUCGUGCAAUGUGGCUGUUGACCAACGGGUUGUCGCUCUCUAUGAGGAUGCAGCUAAACUUGUUGGUAUGGACGGCCCAACCAAUGAGGUUGUCAGUUGGCUAAAAGAUGAGGAGAAGCAGUUAAAGGUUGUAUUAAUUGUUGGAUUUGGAGGUUUAGGUAAAACGACACUCGCCAAGGAGGUAUACCAUAAGCUGAAGGGGGAAUUUCACUGUGGUGCAUUUGUGCCAGUGUCUCAAAAGCCAAAUAUUCCAAAACUUCUGCAUAGUUUGUCAACCCAACUUGGUUGUCAACAAUCUUUUCAUGACUGUGAGUUAAAUGUUCUUCUCGACCAAGUCAGAGAAAAUCUAAAAAACAAGAGGGAAGGGACUGGAAGCCGAUUCUGUUCCUUGGAGCAAGAAGAUGAGAUGCGUGGAGGAACACUGAGGUGUCACCAACCUUUAUGCUGCGUUGUAGCUGAUGGCAAUGGAUUAGUGCAUUUUAUUCCCGCCAGGAAUAUCGAGCUAUCGCUUUGCUUUGUGCUAUCUCCGAGUUAUCUCGUCAAACUGUUUCUCCUCUGUCUCUAA
rnacentral:rRNA from 1 species